rnacentral:lncRNA from 1 species
AAAAAAAGCCCCCUAACCGCUCUUUUACUUCUUUCUUUUCUCCAAUUUUUUUACUCUGUGUUUUUUACUCUUUAUUUUUUUUUGUUUCAUUUCUGCCUAAAAAUUUUUUAUGGAACAAUAUUUCCAUCGUCGUCAUCAUCAGCGAUAUUAAUCCUUUACAAACGUGGCACGAGUGAGUAUUUUCCAAAUCCCUUCUCCAAUCAUAGUCGACAACCCAGUU